rnacentral:rRNA from 1 species
GAGUUUGAUCGUGGCUCAGAUUGAACGCUGGCGGCAGGCCUAACACAUGCAAGUCGAGCGGAUGAAGGGAGCUUGCUCCUGGAUUCAGCGGCGGACGGGUGAGUAAUGCCUAGGAAUCUGCCUGGGUAGUGGGGAGUAACGUCCGGAAACGGGCGCUAAUACCGCAUACGUCCUGAGGGAGAAAGUGGGGGAGUCUUCGGACCUCACGCUAUCAGAUGAGCCUAGGUCGGAUUAGCUAGUUGGUGGGGUAAAGGCCUACCAAGGCGACGAUCCGUAACUGGUCUGAGAGGAUGAUCAGUCACACUGGAGCUGAGACACGGUCCAGACUCCUACGGGAGGCAGCAGUGGGGAAUAUUGGACAAUGGGCGAAAGCCUGAUCCAGCCAUGCCGCGUGUGUGAAGAAGGUCUUCGGAUUGUAAAGCACUUUAAGUUGGGAGGAAGGGCAGUAAGUUAAUACCUUGCUGUUUAGACGUUACCAACAGAAUAAGCACCGGCUAACUUCGUGCCAGCAGCCGCCC